rnacentral:rRNA from 1 species
ACACGUUGAUCCUGCGUGAGAUCGCUGCUAUCUGGGUUCGACUAAGCCAUGCAAGUCCAGGGGUCCUUCGGGACACCGGCAAAACGCUCAGUAACACGUUAGUAAUCUGCCUUUAGGUCAGGGAUAGCCUCGGAAAACUGAGGGUAAAAUCUGAUAUGAGAAUUCGUCUGGAAUGAUUUUUCUCUGAAAAGCAAUGCCUAAAGAUGAGCUAGCGGCGGAUUAGGUUGUUGGUGAGGUAAAGGCUCACCAAGCCGAAGAUCCGUAGGGGCCUUGAAAGAGGGAGCCCCGAGAAGGACACUGAGAAACUGGUCCUAGCCCCACGGGGUGCAGCAGGCGCGAAACCUUUACAAUGUACGAAAGUGUGAUAAGGGAACCCAGAGUGCUUAUGCAUUGCAUAGGCUUUUGUCAAGGGUAAAUACCUUGACGAAUAAGUGGUGGGAAAGACUGGUGCCAGCAGCCGCGGUAACCCCAGCGCCACAAGUGGCAAUCGUGUUUAUUUGGCCUAAAGUGUUCGUAGCUGGUUUUGUAAGUUUCUUGUGAAAUAAUUAUGCUUAACAUAAUUACGUGCAGGAAAUACUGCAAGACUUGAGAUUGGUAGGGGUCGAGAGUAUGUCUUGGGGAGCGGUAAAAUGCUAUAAUCCAAGAUAGACUACCUGUGGCGAAGGCGCCCGACCAGGACAAAUCUGACAGUGAGGAACGAAAGCCAGGGGAGCGAUCCGGAUUAGAUACCCGAGUAGUCCUGGCCGUAAACGCUGCAUGCUAGGUGUUGCAUAUUCUACGUGAAUAUGCAGUGUCGUAAUGAAGAUGUUAAGCAUGCCGCCUGGGAAGUAAGGUCGCAAGACUGAAACUUAAAGGAAUUGGCGGGGGAGCACUACAAGGGGUGCGGCGUGCGGUUUAAUCUAACUCAACGCAGAGAACCUCACCGGGGGCGACGGCAGGAUGAAGGUCAGUCUGAUGGGCUUACCUGACGAGCCGAGAGGUAGUGCAUGGUCGUCGUCAGCUCAUGCCGUAAGGUAUCCAGUUAAGUCUGGCAACGAGCGAGACCUGUGCCUAUAAUUGCUAACAACUCUAUCCAGAGGAUUGAGCACAUUAUGGGGACUGCUUUGGUAACAAAGAGGAAGGUGCAGGCUACGAUAGGUCUGUAUGCUCCGAAUCUCCCGGGCUACACGCGCGCAACAAUGGUAGGGACAAUGGGAUACGACUCCGAAAGGAGAAGUUAAACCUCUAAACCUUACCCUAGUUCAGAUUGAGGGUUGCAACUCACCCUCAUGACGCUGGAAUCCCUAGUAAUCGGACGUCAUCAUCGUCCGGUGAAUAUGUCCCUGCUCCUUGCACACACCGCCCGUCAAACCACUCGAGCAGGGUUUAGGUGAGUAUUAAUUUCUUGAUUAAUACGAAUCUAAGCUCAGUGAGAUGGGUUAAGUCGUCACAAGGUA